GAUUCACCGUUGUCAGAAACCCCGCCAGGCCCUUUCCUUCACAGCCAGCCACUAACCCAUGAUUCACCCCAGCCACGUCACCGCUUCCAUGCCACACCUCUGCCAUCGCAACAGGGGAACAAUCAGUUGCUGCGUGACAUGGGCAUCAGCACCGUCAUUGCUCUCCUUGGCCAGCUGAGGGAGGAAAACUGACUGCUUACUAUUUUUCAGAUUCACCGUCUUCAGAAACCCCGCCAGGCCCUUUCCUUCACAGCCAGCCACUAACCCAUGAUUCACCCCAGCCACGUCACA